rnacentral:lncRNA from 1 species
UCAUGAUUACUUGCGAGAGAGUCGUCUUCUCAUCUGCAAUUCUCGUCUUCUUCAUGUUCACUGGAGUUGGGUAACUUGAUCGGGUCUCUCCUCAAUCCAAAUCUUAAUUCAUCCUCCAGAGUGGUUAUCCAUCAGAGACCACUUGUUUGUCUUCUGCCGUUUCAAGAACCCUAAGACAAACAAUUGGACGAGUUCGGCUUCGAAUCCCAUCGGCAAAUUCCCAGAAGAGUAGCUUUUAUGUGGUGCGCGCUUAAUCUCUGAAUAUGUCUCAGCAGACAAAAUCAACAUGGAGCAUCAAUAAUCUAUCUCAAAGAAAAAAUCACUACUUUGUUGUUGCAGUUCCUUCUCCCAACGCUCUUCAUCCUUGCCUCGUAGAGAAGACCCGAGGAUUUUAAGUGUCAGAGGAAGGAAACCCGAUAUAUGGACAGCGCGAAGGGAUAGUGAUUCAAAACUAGUGGGAGGGUGUUGCUGGUCAAAAGCAGAGUGAGAAAAUAGUUGAAGAGCUUCGUCGUAUCUCAGAGACUGAACUUCAUAAGCAUGCUCCACACCAGACUCAACUAACAGGUUCCUGUCCUGUGUAACAAAGAUCACUCUACUUCCUGGAAUAAACCAGUGAGCAAGAUCCCGGUCUUGGUGACAAAUCUUUUCAGCCUUGUCUACAAACACAUGAACUUUGAAGUUGCUAGAUAUUUCUUCAUAAGCGUACCUCGCUAGCGUCGUCUUGCCAAUGCCUCCUGGACCCCAAAUUCCUAUCAAACGAACUUCUUCAGCAGCUUUGAAAUCCAGCAAUUUGUAGAGUGUUUGCAUCUGACGAUCCAUACCAACCAGUCCAUCACCUUUGGCUGUUAAUGGCUUUCUAUUCGAGAUACUCAAGAUUUCAUUUGCAAUUAACUCAAUCAUGUCCGCUUCGUUGCUCCUAUGAUAAAAUCAAAAACAUAAAGGGAAAAGAAUCAUGAAUCCGAGUGAAAAAACCCUUGAAUAUUCUUACGUACAGAUUAAGCUUGUGUUUUACCAAUAUCGUGAAUCCAGGGCAGGUAUGUUGGUGAGUUUAGUGAGAGAAACCCUCCAUUCUUGAAUCUUGUCAUCUGGAUAUCCUUCACCAAGCUC